UACGUAGGUGGCAAGCGUUGUCCGGAAUUAUUGGGCGUAAAGCGCGCGCAGGCGGCCUUUUAAGUCUGAUGUGAAAGCCCACGGCUCAACCGUGGAAGGUCAUUGGAAACUGAAAGGCUUGAGUACAGAAGAGGAAAGCGGAAUCCACGUGUAGCGGUGAAAUGCGUAGAGAUGUGGAGGAACACCAGUGGCGAAGGCGCU
rnacentral:rRNA from 1 species